rnacentral:rRNA from 1 species
CGGCGAGUGAAGCGGCAACAGCUAAAAUUUGAAAUCUGGCCUAGGCCCGAGUUGUAAUUUGCAGAGGAUGCUUCUGGCGCGGUGCCUUCCGAGUUCCCUGGAACGGGACGCCACAGAGGGUGAGAGCCCCGUAUGGUUGGACACCAAGCCUGUGUGAAGCUCCUUCGACGAGUCGAGUAGUUUGGGAAUGCUGCUCUAAAUGGGAGGUAAAUCUCUUCUAAAGCUAAAUACCGGCCAGAGACCGAUAGCGCACAAGUAGAGUGAUCGAAAGAUGAAAAGCACCUUGAAAAGGGGGUUAAAUAGUACGUGAAAUUGUUGAAAGGGAAGCACUUGUGACCAGACUUGGGCCGGGCGGCUCAUCAGGGGUUCUCCCCUGUGCGCUCCGCCCGGCGCAGGCCAGCAUCGGCUCUCGUGGGGGGAUAAGACCGCCGGGAACGUAGCACCCUCCGGGGUGUGUUAUAGCCCGGCGGACGAUACCCCCGUGGGGACCGAGGUUCGCGCUCCGCAAGGAUGCUGGCGUAAUGGCACCAA